GACGAACGCUGGCGGCGUGCUUAACACAUGCAAGUCGAGCGGAAAGGCCCUGCUUUUGUGGGUUGCUCGAGUGGCGAACGGGUGAGUAACACGUGAGUAACCUGCCCUUGACUUUGUGAUAACUUCAGGAAACUGGGGCUCAUACCGGAUAGGAGCUCCUGCUGCAUGGUGGGGGUUGGAAAGUUUCGGCUGUUUGGGAUGGUCUCGCGGCUUAUCAGCUAGUUGGUGGGGUAGGUGUUUACCAAGCCUGUGAAGGGUAGCCGGCCUGGGAGGGGGGACGGGCACAUGGGGCCUGAGGGAGGGAGCAGUAGGCAAUGUGAGGCAGUGGGGGAGAGUAUGGCGGAGUGAGGGGGAGCGAGAGACGGCAAUGUCGCGAGCGGGAAGAUGUGUUAUGAGUGAUGAACAGCUGUGUAAGGAGACGAGGAGGGAGUGACGGUAAUGGGUAAAGAAGCAACGGCUAACUACGUG
rnacentral:rRNA from 1 species